AUCGUGAUACAUCGGCUAUCUCGGAUUCCUCCGUAAGAUAGGCCUCGUGGCUAACGGUCGCCAUAUUGCCUUGUAUUACUACUUUACUACCCAAAAGGUUGUCAGUCUAUUGUUAUGAGGCUGUAUACGAUGCGCGUUGAACUAGCGCCAAACUUUUUACCGAAACUUUGAUAUAAAUAGCACUAUUAACGUUCAUUUGUGUUGCAUUUUGACCUAUUAUCCAAGUGAUUUACUUUUCCAUUUUUAUUUAAUCACCCUAUCAUCCAAUUUUUAAGAUAAAAUUACGGUGUUUACAAAACCAACCAAACCGAAAGUGAAACUGGAUGCAUUACGUUUCGCGAUGUAAACAUUAAAUAUUUGUUCAGUUUGAGGAAGCGAAUCGAUAAUAGACGUUGAAAUAUGUAUGCAAUACAGACUAUCAUUGCCGAUUGUAGUACUGGCUAAAAAAAUACCUUUUAUGACAGGUUUACUGGAUUAUGAAAGACUGAUAAACAUAAAAUUGACAACUCAUCUCCCCAACGAUACUUUGUGUGGCUCAUUCUCGGAACAAACCCAUAGUCAGUGAGAAAACUACAGUGUAAAAAGACCACUUGAUUGUGACAAUUAUGGCUGACCAAGCAAAUGUUAUCAUUUAAAAUAAAGAAAACUUCCAGUUCAAUA